rnacentral:rRNA from 1 species
CCCUUAGAUGUUCUGGGCUGCACGCGUGCUACACUGAUAUUGCCAAUAUGUCAUUCUUUUCCGAAAUGGAUUGGGUAAUCAAGUAAUGAAAUUUCAUGCUUGGAAUCGGUAAUUGCAAUUUUAUCGUGAACGAGGAAUUCCUAGUAAGCACUAGUCAUCAGCUAAUGUUGAUUAUGUCCCUGCCCUUUGUACACACCGCCCGUCGCUACUACUGAUUGGGUGUUCAAGUGAGAUGCUUAGACCCUUGUUGCAUGGUUCAUUAUUGUGCUCCGAAAGGAAAAAGUUUCAAGCUUGAGUGUCUAGAGGAAGUAAAAGUCGUAACA